UGGGAAUAUUGGACAAUGGGCGCAAGCCUGAUCCAGCCAUGCCGCGUGAGUGAUGAAGGCCUUAGGGUUGUAAAGCUCUUUCGGCGGGGACGAUAGUGACGGUACCCGCAGAAGAAGCCCCGGCUAACUUCGUGCCAGCAGCCGCGGUAAUACGAAGGGGGCUAGCGUUGCUCGGAAUCACUGGGCGUAAAGGGCGCGUAGGCGGACAUUUAAGUCGGGGGUGAAAGCCCAGGGCUCAACCCUGGAAUUGCCUCCGAUACUGGGUGUCUCGAGACCGGAAGAGGUGAGUGGAACUGCGAGUGUAGAGGUGAAAUUCGUAGAUAUUCGCAAGAACACCAGUGGCGAAGGCGGCUCACUGGUCCGGUUCUGACGCUGAGGCGCGAAAGCGUGGGGAGCAAACAGGAUUAGAUACCCUGGUAGUCCACGCCGUAAACGAUGGAUGCUAGCCGUUGGCAGGCUUGCCUGUCAGUGGCGCAGCUAACGCUUUAAGCAUCCCGCCUGGGGGAGUACGGCCGCAAGGUU
rnacentral:rRNA from 1 species